GGGCAGGUAGCAACAUCCCUGUUCCUACCCACUAGAUGUCAGUAGCAACCUCCAAUCCUUCCAGUUGUGACAACAGAAAUGCCAGGAGAUGUCAAAUAUUCCCCACAGGACAGCAGUGCCCCACUGAGAUCCACGGAGUUACAGUGACUUCAUUGCACAGCUGUUCCAUCAGGUCCCAGGCAGGUGACACCCACAGGCUAGCAAAGAAAAUGGUGGGAGAGGGGAGCUUGCAACUUAGCUGCGACGAAAUGAGUCAUCUGGGACUCUUCCUGCAGAUACUACCCCAUGACAGGACCUGGGAGAGCAAAAGCAAAGCCUUGGAAUCCCUGUGAGUUAUCCAGUGAGUGACCGGGUUGCAUGGAGAGAGGGAGGAGGAGGAGGGGAAGGAGGAGGAGGGGGAGAAGGAGGAGGGGAGGGGGAUGGGGAGGAGGAGGGGGGGAGAAGGGGGAGAAGAGGAGGAGGAGGGGGAGGAGGAGGGGGAGGGGGAGGGGGAGGAGGAGGAGGAGGAGGAGGAGGAGGAGGAGGAGGAGGAGGAGGAGGAAGAGGAGGAGGAGGAGAGGUUUGGCAGGGUUCUGGGGUUCUAGGGCCUGAGAUAAUGCAAAGUCUCUGCCCUUUGUAUUACUACAGGCUUCCAAGUGUAACUGGCUUGACCCACGCUACCAUCUCGUCAGCAAGAACGCACGCAGGACACUCGGAUCCGUCUGCAGUAAAGCUUUAAUGAAUCUCAAGAGAUAGAUGAUCAGCUUCAGGAGAGGAGACCCAGAGAGCAGAAAACCCUUCCCUUAUAUAGGCUGCGAAGUAAGUUUGGAGACGUGCACUAGCCGGAUUGGCUGCCCACCAUCAGCCAGAUGACGCCAUGGGAGAGGCAGGGCUCAGGUAAUGGAAAGAUACCCUGACGCCUGCGCACACUACUUGUUUUUCACCACGAGCAACAGAUGUCAGCGCCAUUU
rnacentral:lncRNA from 1 species